AAAAAAUUUUGAAGUCUCCCUGCACGACUCUCUUUCAACAAUGGCAUUUUGCUCACGCCAUAGUUCCUCUUCUCCUCAAAUAUGUGCAUCUCCACCACUCCACCACAGAUCUGUGAAGGUGAGGAGUGACGCUAGAAUAGUAAAAGCUUUUUGGGCAGGCUUGUAAGAGAAGGAGAGGCAGUCCUUUUUGCUCGUCAUUGUCAGUUUUUAGGUGUAGGAGCGCCACAGUGAGUUGGGGUUUGGCUCUGGAGGGAGUGAAAAUUUUGGGGUUGUUCCCCGUUUUCUAUCUCAAGGAAUUGCUGCGACCGAACAGAACAAGUUCUGAUCAUUUUCCUUUCAAAUUAGUGAAAUUUAUAUGCUUGAUAGAGUUUAUGGUGGUUUGGUGGAGAUUCAACCUAAGAAACUGAAGAGAAGAAAAGGAAAAAGAUUGACUCUUUUGUUCAAUCCUUAUGCUCUUCUCUCUAUCUUGUUGCUGUUCAGCAUCGUCUAAGUACCAGCUUGAUCAGAGCCGGCAUCUCAGCUCCUCUUGGGCGAGAGUGUUAAGGCUGUCAAUGACUUCGGAAACAAUGGAAUCCGUCAAGAUGGCUGACAGGAAGAAGAUCGAUUGGGAGGAGGGUUUCACGAAGGUGCAGGAACGAAACUUGGUGUUUGACUCUUUGCCCCUCAACUUAUGAAAACCCGUUGGUCAUUGAAGUGGGAAAAGGAACGAGAAUCGAGGGAUUGAGAUGCUGCUACUGGUGAGCUCAACGGAGGGGGAAGGAUUACUUCGUGGGAUGAGGCAGGCAUUUGUUGAUCAUAUCACAUUUUUAUUCCAUUUAGUUUGGCAUCUGAAUCUUUCCGUGGAACCCUUUGAUUGAGACUUGAUAAUGAAAUUUCAGAGAAAGUGUCUCUCAAAAUCAAUGUAGAAACUUAUGCCAUUUUAACAAUCAAUUUAGGAGAGUGGGUAGAAUUAUGAGCAUGUGCAGUCUUCAUCUGUCCCGUUCAUGUUUUAUCGAUUGAUCAUUCUCUCUAUCCCAUUUUUUAUUUUUCCUUGUAUUUGUACUUGUAAAAUUGUUGAACGUUGCACCUCUGUUCUGCUUCUCCAAGUAAAG